rnacentral:lncRNA from 1 species
UUCCAAGGCCUCCAUCCACCAGUUCAACAAAUUCAUUUCAGUUCAUUCCAAUAAUACAGUAAAAGUAGAGUUUUAAAAAUUGUAGAAAAUUAGCAAUUCUGCCAUUUAGUGAACUAGGACACAGAGGUAGUAUAACUGCAUUCACUUAUUUAAUUAUAAACUAAAAGACUUGAGAAUUUACAUUGCUUGUGUAUGGUUGACCUAGAAAGUUAAAGAAGAGUUAGGACUGGGAACCAUACAGCCCAACAAACAUGGACAUUUCUGCUUCUCUGGACUUAAUAUGUCUGAGAAACUAAAUUUUGAUUGCAAUGAUUGUAUAUAUGUGCACAUACACAUACCUAUCUAUUCAAAUCUCUCGUAUUCUGAUGAAUAAGAUCAAUAUCUAGACCAAUAUCUGGACCACUUCAGUAAAGUCCUUCCAUAGGAGUGGAAAGUGCACUAAACUGCAGUCAAAGAAGGGAUUCUGGCCAUAUUCCCAGCCUCUGCUUAGUUGCUGUCUGAUCAUGUAAACCUGAGUAAAUGAUGUGACUAUUUUUGGACUUCAACUUCCUCAUCUAUUGUCAAAAAUGUCACUGUGAGGCUCUUGGUUGCACCAUCAUCUGCAGCGGGCAUGACCCUCUUUGGCAGCUUAGUGUACCUAUGUGGUUACAGCUCUCUCUCUCUCUCUCUCUCUUUCUUUUUCCUCCCAAUUUACUUAGUAUGUCAAUUCUUAACCCAGUUCUUCAAGAACUUGAUCCUAUUAACAAGAAGUCUAGUAGCUCUUUCUUGAUAUUUCCCUGUAAUUUGAAGAACUCUACUUGUUUUAAGUGUUCAGUGCCACUUCCAAACAAGACAAAGACAAAAAACCAGAAAGUCAGACCCAGACACUAAAACUGUGGCUUUGACUGCUUCUACUUGGCACUGCUGUUGAGCCAGUGCUGCACAGUCCUGUGACUCUGUAUGUCCGGAUUCGAGAUGCUUCUGCUAGUCCAAAAUGCACCAUAAGGCAGAGUGAGGCCUCACACUUAGAAUGGUGAAGAUCUGCACAAAGCAAGAAUUUUAAAAUGCAAUUAAGGCCUAAAAGAUUAUAAGAAUUUGUGACCUUGGAGCACUGGGAAAAGUGGGCAGCAUAUUUUGCAGUUAUGAUGGAAUACAUGGAGUUUAGCUUCCUCUGCUAAGGUUAUUUAAUGGACAGAACUCUAGAGGAGGCUGUGAAGUGUGCUUUUUUCUUUUUAAGUUGGUAUUUAUUUGAAUUGGGGCUCAUGUUAUUGGAGAUACACCAUGCAGAAAAAUGUGUGUAUAAAAGUUGAAUUCAUCACAGGGCUGUUCUGAGGGUAAAGAAAUAAUGAGAGUCAAGAGACAUUUACCAACACUCAUCAGUGAAGCCUACCAGCAAAUGAAAAUAUAGAUAAGCCAUUCGUUUAACUUCCUUGAUGAGUCUUCAAUAGAGAAAAAUAUAUAUAUUAUUUUCAAGGUCAAUGUUCUCUUAGUUCACACUCCGUGUCCAGCCUCUGCUUCCCAAAACACGGCAAAGAAAAUAUGACAAGGUCUUCAAGUGGCCUCCAGCCUAACUUCCUGCUCUGUAAAAGCCAGUCCUUCUCCCAAAUACAUUGGUGCUAAGUUAUGCUGAAAGCAAAUCUUUAGCAUGGUCUCACUCUUUCUUUCUAGGAAGUCCAUUUCUGGAAACUGAAUCCUUUCCUGCCAGUAGAUUUUUGCUUAGGGCUAACCAAGUCUACACCAGAAAGUCUUCCUCGUCUAAGGACGCCUUGUGAAAAUUAACUCUCUCUUCACCCAGCCCCACCUGAAAGCUCCCUACACUUGGCACAAUAAGGAGUGUCUGAUUAUGUCAAAAUAAAGGCUUGGUUACCUCUCUUCCUCAAGGCUAGGACUUGCCUGACUAAGAAGAACACCUCUAGGGAAGCUGUCCAAAAGAGGGAUGCAUGUCUCACCUAGAGAAAAUAGAGAAGAGACUGACAUCUAUUCAUUUUUUGCAACAUAAUCUAGC